GUCAGCAGCCAUAUCACCCUGCAACUGACAUCUGGCAACCCACUGAAGCUAAGCAGGUGUGAGCCUGGUCAGUACCUGAAUGGGAGACCUCCUGGGAAACACUAAGGUUGCUGCUGGAA
rnacentral:rRNA from 2 species